GGUAGCGAAAUUCCUUGUCGGGUAAGUUCCGACCUGCACGAAUGGCGUAACGACUUCCCCACUGUCUCGACCAGGAGCUCGGCGAAAUUGCAGUACGAGUAAAGAUGCUCGUUAAGCGCAGAAGGACGAAAAGACCCCGGGACCUUUACUAUACCUUGGUAUUGGCGUUAGGCGCGGAUUGUGUAGCAUAGGCGGGAGGCUUCGAAGCAUGGGCGCCAGCCCGUGUGGAGCCGCAAGGUGAAAUACCGCUCUGUUCUCGUUUGACGUCUAACCUCGAACAGUCAUCCUGUUCAGGGACAGUGCCUGGCGGGUAGUUUAACUGGGGCGGUUGCCUCCCAAAGAGUAACGGAGGCGCUCAAAGGUCCGCUCAGCCCGGUUGGCAAUCGGGUUUCGAGUGUAAUCGCACAAGCGGGCUUGACUGCGAGAACGACGGUUCGGGCAGGGACGAAAGUCGGAGAUAGUGAUCCGGUGCCGGCGCACGGGCGCGGCAUCGCUCAACGGAUAAAAGGUACCCCGGGGAUAACAGGCUGAUCAUUCCCAAGAGUCCAUAUCGACGGGAUGGUUUGGCACCUCGAUGUCGGCUCGUCGCAUCCUGGGGCUGGAGCAGGUCCCAAGGGUUCGGCUGUUCGCCGAUUAAAGCGGCACGCGAGCUGGGUUCAGAACGUCGUGAGACAGUUUGGUCUCUAUCCUCUGCGCUCGUUGGAAUCCUGAGGAGGCCUGCCCAUAGUACGAGAGGACCUGGGUGGACGGACCUCUGGUAUGCCGGUUGUCGCGCCAGCGGCAUGGCCGGUUGGCUACGUUCGGGAGGGAUAACCGCUGAAAGCAUCUAAGCGGGAAGCCUGCUCCAAGAUUAGGAUUCCUUGACGCUCCCCGGAGCGCCUGUAGCCCGCAUGUUGAACACGUGUUCGAUAGGCCGGAGGUGGAAGCCCCGCGAGGGGUGGAGCCGACCGGUACUAACGGGCGAACGCGGCACAC
rnacentral:rRNA from 1 species